GUAAACGAUGAGUGCUAAGUGUUGGAGGGUUUCCGCCCUUCAGUGCUGCAGCUAACGCAUUAAGCACUCCGCCUGGGGAGUACGACCGCAAGGUUGAAACUCAAAGGAAUUGACGGGGGCCCGCACAAGCGGUGGAGCAUGUGGUUUAAUUCGAAGCAACGCGAAGAACCUUACCAGGUCUUGACAUCCUCUGACAACCCUAGAGAUAGGGCUUUCCCUUCGGGGACAGAGUGACAGGUGGUGCAUGGUUGUCGUCAGCUCGUGUCGUGAGAUGUUGGGUUAAGUCCCGCAACGAGCGCAACCCUUGUCGUUAGUUGCCAUCAUUCAGUUGGGCACUCUAGCGAGACUGCCGGUGACAAACCGGAGGAAGGUGGGGAUGACGUCAAAUCAUCAUGCCCCUUAUGACCUGGGCUACACACGUGCUACAAUGGACGGUACAACGAGCAGCGAACUCGCGAGGGCAAGCGAAUCUCUUAAAGCCGUUCUCAGUUCGGAUUGCAGGCUGCAACUCGCCUGCAUGAAGCCGGAAUCGCUAGUAAUCGUGGAUCAGCAUGCCACGGUGAAUACGUUCCCGGGCCUUGUACACACCGCCCGUCACACCACGAGAGUUUGUAACACCCAAAGUCGGUGCGGUAACCUUUUGGAGCCAGCCGCCUAAGGUGGGAUAGAUGAUUGGGGUG
rnacentral:rRNA from 1 species